GACGGACCAGCCUUUGCGUUCUUUCGUGGGUUGUUCCUGAGAUGAUCCGAAGGCGCUCAGCCAUUUUCGAACACUGCUCGAUGCCAAUGGCGAAGAUCUGGUGCUAAAGUUGUUCCAGUCACUCCGGCAACUAAACUUGCAAGUAAACACCGGUUGCCUCCUCGCCCCCUCCACCUGAAAGAUCUGCGGACUACACCCUGGCUCCGCA
rnacentral:misc_RNA from 1 species